ensembl:lncRNA
AUACAACACUAAGGAUGAAAUCUGCUGCAACGGACACAACUGUCCACCUUCUUGAAAAUUCCCCGUCAGAAGAAGCGUGGGUGGAUUUUGGAAAUCAUGCGCUUCAUUGGCCAGCAUGCAUCCUGGUGACCACGUCUGGCUCUCCACCAGAAACCUCCUGCUCCGCCUGCCCUGUAAGAAAACCUGAGUCCCCUGUUUGUGGGGCCGUUCUAGGUCCUCUGGAAGGUCAUUUACAGAUUACAACUCCCCAAUAACUACCGGAUCUCACCAUCUUUUCAUGUUUUCCUCCACAGGCCGGUGGUUCCUGGUCCACUGGCUGAUUCCGUCUCCCACGACAUCCCUUCGCCUCCCUUGGACAUCGAGUGAAGCCCCGUCCAUACAGUCAGAUCCCUCCUGGACUCCCGAAUUUGUGGGGGUCGGCUCCAGGAAAGUGUACGGUCCAGAGGAGUGGUGUUGGUUUCGGUGGAUGACAUUCUAGAUCCCGACAUCAUCUGGGGGGGGGGGGUUGGAGGGCACUGUCACGUCUACUCCUGCUCACUGACUGGUAGACGUUGUGCCGGUUUACUAACCACAGGACCUGGAAACCCAUUUUUACUCACACCUGGCAACCCUCAUUACACACACCUGCGUCUCAUCAUCAGUCACACUUGGACUUCAUAACUCAUCCUUUAUAUAGUACCCUUCUGUUAGUAGUCGUCAGGUAGUAAUGUUUAUGUUUCCAUGUCAUGUUUUGUGUCGUUCCAUGUUCAUUAUUAUUAAACUCACUAACUGCACUUGUUUCGACUCCCUGCACCUACGUUACAGAUAAAUUUGUAUGUUUUAAAACUACAACACCGUCACCUGUUUUGUAUACAACUGAAGGAUGGGGCUGGGAAAAUGCAAUCCCUCUCAAAUUUAUAGACAGCUCGCUAGAUGCAGGGACUGACAGUCCAUGACGUUCAAGAGAUGGCAAAAGCAUGUGUUAUAACAUUCUAACACCUGUGUGUAACGCAUUUUGACUGUAUCUGUAAACGUUAAGGCAUUUAUAAAAGCUGCUACCUUGAACUGUUAUGAAUGCUUUAAGUGCGUCUAAGGAUGCAUAUGGGGUGAUAAUAGGCAGUAGGUGAAGUCAAGAUGCAGUAAAAUACAUGGGUGGCUCGUAAAGUGUUUACCACUCGUUUUUUUCUCAGAAAUAGCUGAUAGUAGCAUAGUCUCUUGACAUUUAAAAAAAAUGUAGUAGUUACUUGUAAUUACUUGCACCAAUUAUAAAAAUUCAAAAAAAUCAAACUGCAACUGGAAAGGUAGAUCCAAGCAAUACAAUGACUCAUACAACAUAUUAAUGACUGAGAUGGGGUCCCAUAUGGGAUAUUUUGGGUUAGCUAGGCAAUUGGAUAUUGUUGUCAAGGGUGGUUCUUGUAGAUGUGGCUGAAAUGGAAUACUUAUAGUGCAUUUGAAAAAUAUUCAGACGCCUUGAUAUUUUCCACAUUUUGUUACGUUCCAGCAUUAUUCUAAAAUUGAUUAAAAAAAACAUUUUCCCUCAUCAAUCUACACACAAUACUCCAAAUUUGAUCAAAUGUAUAAAAAUUUAAAAAACGGAAUAUCACAUUUACGUUAGUAUUCAGACCCUUUGACUGUGAUUAAAGCCUUGAGUGUUCUUCGGUAUGAUGCUAUCAGCUUAGCACACCUGUAUUUGGGGAGUCUCCCAUUCUUGUCUUCAGAUCUUCUCUGUCAUGUUGAAUGGGGAGCAUCGCUGCACAGCUGUUUUCAGGUCUCUCCAGAGAUGUUCGAUCAGGUUCAAGUCAGGGCUCUGGCAGGGCCACUCAAGGACAUUCAGAGACUUGUCCCGAAGUCACUCCUGCUUUGUCUUGGCUGAGUGCUUAGGGUUGUUGUCCUGUUGGAAGGCGAACCUUCGCACCAGUCUGAGGUCCUGAGCACUUGGGAGCAGGUUUUCAUCAAGGAACUCUGUACCUUGCUCCGUUCAACAUUCCAUCGAUCCACACUAGUCUCCCAGUCCCUGCCGCUGAAUAACAUCCUCACAGCAUGAUGCUGCCACCAACAUUCUUCACCUUAAUGAUGGUGCCGGGUUUCCUUCAGACAUGCCGCUUGGCAUUCAGGCCAAAGAGUUCAAUCUUGGUUUCAUCAGACCAGAGAAUCUUGUUUCUCAUGGUCUGAGAGUCCUUUAGGUGCCUUUUGGCAAACUCCAAGCGGGCUAUCAUGUGCCUUUUACUGAGGAGUAGCUUCCAUCUGGCCACUCUACCAUAAAGGCCUGAUUGGUGGAGUGCUGCAGAGAUGGUUGUUCUUCUGGAUGGUUCUCCCAUCUCCACAAAGAAACUCUAGAGCUCUGUCAGAGUGGCCAUUGGGUUCUUGGUCACCUCCCUGUCCAAGGCCCUUGUCCCCCAAUUGCUCAAUUUGGCCAGACAGCCAGCUCUAGGAAGUGUCUCUGUGGUUCCAAACUUCUUCCAUUUAAGAACGAUGGAAGCCACUGUGUUGUUGCUGCAGAAAAUGUUUUGGUACCCUUCCCCAGAUCUGUGCCUCGACACAAUCCUGUCUCAGAGCUCUACAGAAAAUUCCUUAGACCUCAUUUAAACAUUUUAUUUAACUAGGCAAGUCAGUUAAGAACAAAUUAUUAUUAACAAUGAUAGCCUACACUGGCCAAACCAAGACGACACUGGGCCAAUUGUGCACCGCCCUAUGGGACUCCCAAUCAUAGCUGGUUGGGAUACAGCCUGGAUUUGAACCAGGGUGUCUGUAGUGACACCUCUAGCACUGAGAUGCAGUGCCUUAGACCACUGCGCCACUCAGGAGCCCUCAUGGCUUAGCUUUAGUUCUGACAUGUACUGUCAACUGUGUGCCUUUCCAAAUCAUGUCCAAUCAAUUGAAUUUACCACAGGUGGACUCCAGUCAAGUUGUCAUUAUGCUGUAUUGUGUGGAAAAAACAAAUGUAGUACAUUUUAGAAUAAGGCUGUAACGUAACAAAAUGUGGAAAAAGUCAAGGGGUCUGAAUACUUUCAGGAUGCACUUCAUGUUAGUUCAUCUUAGUCUUUCAUGUAUGAAUGAGACCACUUUAUUGAGAGUCACCAUGACCACUCCGCUACUGAUGUUUGGUACAGUAUGUGACCAUCCCUAUCAAACUCUGCACAUUUGCUAGAAUAUGUCUGUAUAAUCCCUGACUCCCUUUCCUGAACUUUUUUUUUCUUCAUUUGUGCAGUUCCACUGACUCCACUCUGCUACAGUGCAAUAUAAUCUCUUUGCAUCUGUCUGUGCUUCCAAGAUGGCGUAGCAGUCGGACGUGUGGCCAUCCAUCUGGACACCUGCCAGCCUCAGCUCGGUCAAUACCUGCAAGUCUGCACGAUAUCAACCCAGAGCAUAUCAGACUGCUUUUUCUCUACCACAUCUCCGGAUUCCUACCGCAAGCUCUGAACCUUUACACCGGAUGAUUGCAGCUAGCUAGCUGCAAUCCGAGUGGCUACUCCUGGCUAACGUCUCUGUCCCGAAGCAAGCACCAGUUAGCCUUGAGCUAGCCUCGAGCUAGGCCCAUCUCCCGGCUUGCCGAAGAGGUCCACCACAUAAUUCUUGGGCUACAAUACCUCUUUUGCCAAUUGGCCUGGACCCUUUACUCCCGACACGGAACCACGCCGAUCCAUCCCGACUGGUCUGCCAACGUGAUCGUCCAAGGUGGUUUAAACAGGCUCUUCUGUUGCGACAUCGCCGAAGGCCCAUCUGCUAGCCUCGGCCUGCUAGCUGUCUGAAUCGCCGUGUUUCCAGCUCGCCUAGCGUAGUAGCAACUACUGGAUCGGCUCCCUGACUCACCUAUUGCUACUCAUUGGACCCUAUGAUCACUUGGCAACACAUGCCUCUCCCUAAUGUCAAUAUGCCUUGUCUAUUGCUGUUUGGGUUAGUGAUUAUUGUCUUAUUUCACUGUAGAGCCCCCAGCUCUGCCCAAAAUGCCUUAGCCCUUUUGUCCCACCCCCCACACAUGGGGUGACCUCACCUGGCUUAACUGGUGCCUCUAGAGACAAAACCUCUCUCAUCGUCACUCAAUGCCUAGGUUUACCUCCACUGUACUCACAUCCUACCAUACCCUUGUCUGUACAUUAUGCCUUGAAUCUAUUCUUCCACGUCCAGAAAUCUGCUACUUUUACUCUCUGUUCUGAAUGCACUAGACGACCAGUUCUUAUAGCCUUUAGCCGUACCCUUAUCCUACUCCUCCUCUGUUCCUCUGGUGAUGUAGAGGUUAACCCAGGCCCUGCAGCCCCCAGCACCACUCCCAUUCCCCAGGCACUCUCAUUUGUUGACUUCUGUAACCGUAAAAGCCUUGGUUGCAUGCAUGUUAACAUCAGAAGCCUCCUCCCUAAGUUUGUUUUAUUCACUGCUUUAGCACACCGCCAACCCUGAUGUCCUAGCCGUGUCUGAAUCCUGGCUUAGAAAGGCCACCAAAAAUCCUGAAAUAUCCAUCCCCAACUACAACAUUUUCCGACAAGACAGAACUGCCAAAGGGGGCGGAGUUGCAAUCUACUGCAGAGAUAGCCUGCAGAGUUCUGUCAUACUAUCCAGGUCUGUGCCCAAACAAUUCGAGCUUCUACUUCUUUCCAGAAACAAGUCUGUUACCAUUGUCUCUUGUUAUAGACCCCCCUCAGCCCGCAGCUGUGCCAUAGACACCAUAUGUGAAUUGAUUUCCCCCCCAUCUAUCUUCAGAGUUUGUACUGU